CUGCUGAACUGAUCCA
rnacentral:miRNA from 1 species